UACGGAGGGUGCGAGCGUUGUUCGGAUUCAUUGGGCGUAAAGGGUGUGUAGGUGGCGCCGUAAGUCGGGUGUGAAAUUUCGGAGCUUAACUCCGAAACUGCAUUCGAUACUGCGGUGCUUGAGGACUGGAGAGGAGACUGGAAUUCAUGGUGUAGCAGUGAAAUGCGUAGAUAUCGUAAGGAAGACCAGUGGCGAAGGCGGGUCUCUGGACAGUUCCUGACGCUGAGGCACGAAGGUCAGGGGAGCAAACGGG
rnacentral:rRNA from 1 species